UUGGCAACAUCGUCCCCGUCGAUUGAAUCCUCAUUAUCAUCCUUUUAUAAUUGUUUUUUUCCCCCUCUUCUUUUUUUAUCGGAUAUUCUAAUGGCUGCUGUUGCAUGUAAUUAUGUAGCAAUUAUCUGCUUCCUUGCCUCAAACUGGUGUUCCAUUGCUGGAAUGCAAAGUCAGAUUGUGUCUAUUACACUCCCGCUGGCGUGGCAGGCUCACUUAGACUAUAGUCAGACCUCCUGAUCGGGGGACACGCUGAAUGUUUGCCUAAACUUCUCCUGAAAUCCAAAUAAUUUCUAUCCUUUUCAUUCCAUUCAUCGGCACAGUUUCAGCCACGUCUGCCCCACUCUGUGGUACAGAGUGAUAAUUAGUCUGCAAUCUCAGAGUGAAGAAAUCAUUGAUAUGUAUUUUUUUCUCCCUCUCUCUAUUUUCUUCUCUUCAAGUCAAGUUGAUUCUUUGAAGUCGGGUGUGAACUGCAUGCCCAGAGAGCACUUCUUUUCAGGCUGCAUUUUGAGGGAAAGGGCAAAAAAGAGAAAGCUUUGAGCUCUCACAUAGUGGUCUGAGUGAGGAGAAGGACUGAGAUCAUACAGAGAGGACGAGAUACUGAGAAAAAGCCAUUAGAGACAUCAGACAGACUCAAAGUACCGAUCUGAAGCACUUGAAUGUAAGUAAAACACACACUUUAAAAACAAUGACUUUCUUGCCUUUUAGAGCUAUUUCCACAGUGACAUCACUUUUUUUAAGGGCAGUUAUUUUCCAGAGUAGAGUUUGGUUAUUUUAGCCUUUUAAAAAGUUAUUUUUUGUCUCUUUCACUUAGUAUGUUGUAUUACUUUUUAAGUGGUUAGCUUUUAUUUACUUACUCAGGGGCAUUUUAUUGGUUUUGAUAAAUAAUUUAAAUGUCCUCCAGUGUUAGUGGGGUGUGUAUUUAUUUGUUAACGGUGUAAUUGUUGUUGCUGAUUAAAAAAACAAGAGCUUGCACCAUGAUGUCACAGGUGUUGUCAGAAAACAUACGAGCA